GACGCGGGACCGAAAUGACAUGUAAUCUGAAUGAAUAACCCACUCCUGAAGCAGGACAUGCAUUUGUCUGUGUAAGCGGAACACUUUUAGACCAAAUAUUACAAUAAAAAGCAAAACAAGAAAGAAAAACACGAUAUAGAGUGCGAGAAAACUUUUAAGUAGACUUUCACUUGAAAUGGCGAACAAACAAAAUGGUGCCCAGGUAAUGUUUCAUAGAGUGGAAUGAUUGACCUCAACACAAGUAUUAAAAAAAAAAGAAGCAAAACAGGUCUACAUCUCAAAACCUGAUCUCUUCCUGGACUGGCUUUAGGAGAACGAUGAUGCAUAUCAAUUUCAUCCCUGAUCUCUAUGACACCUGUGGUGGAAGUGGAGGGCAAAUCGUAAUCAGUUUGGGUUCCAGCCCCGAGGACCUUUGUAAACUUUGCUUUUUGGUGAUGACUUAAUUUCCGAGCUUGAAAAGGACGCUUGUGUGUUUAUCAUGGCCUCUCAUAUUGGAAGAUAACAUUAAUGGCUUGUGUGUUGAUCGACGGUUGUGCCAUUGUAAAUCAUUUGACAGGCCCGAGUGAACGUGGCGACCUAUGAUUGGUCAGCAAUGUAUCAGAUUCCAUAACGGGGGGUGGGGAUGAAAAAACUGUUGUAGUGUUACAUAAUCAGAUUAUUUCAACUUACUUAUCCUGUGGAAAUACAGCUAUAUAGGAGAUAUUUUGAAAUUCAUAGGCACUGCAUGUUUCAACAUUUUAGAUUUGACCACAAUUUGGCACUUGAAACUAUGUUAACAGAGAAAAACUGUGUGGUUUUCGAUGAAAGUGUUAAAAGUCUAAUAUUGCAUCAUGAUUACUGUUUUAAAGUAUUUUCGUGUUUGAUUUAUAUUGAAUUCAUCUCAUCUUUUUGAAGAAUGCAUUUAUGUUCAAAAAUAAAAAUGUUCUGUGGAAUUCAAAAUUGAUGUGCUUUUAAAUUAUCAGAUUCCAAACUGGGGGGUGGGGAUGAAAAAGCUGUUGUAGUGUUACAUAAUCAGAUUAUUUCAACUUACUUAUCCUAUGGAAAUACAGCUAUAUAGGAGAUAUUUUAAAAUUGAUAGGCACUGCAUGUUUCAACAUUUUAGAUUUGACCACAAUUUGGCACUUGAAACUACGUUAACAGAGAAAAACUGUGUGGUUUUCGAUGAAAGUGUUAAAAAGUCUAAUAUUGCAUCAUGAUUACUGUUUUAAGGUAUUUUCGUGUUAGAUUUAUAUUGAAUUUAUCUCAUCUUUUUACAGAAUGCAUUUAUGUUCAAAAAUAAAAAUGUUCUGUUUAAUUCAAAA